GACGAACGCUGGCGGCGUGCUUAACACAUGCAAGUCGAACGGAAAGGCCCUGCUUUUGUGGGGUGCUCGAUUGGCGAACGGGUGAGUAACACGUGAGUAACCUGCCCUUGACUUUGGGAUAACUUCAGGAAACUGGGGCUAAUACCGGAUAGGAGCUCCUGCUGCAUGGUGGUGGUUGGAAAGUUUCGGCGGUUGGGGAUGGACUCGCGGCUUAUCAGCUUGUUGGUGGGGUAGUUGCUUACCAAGGCUUUGACGGGUAGCCGGCCUGAGAGGGUUGCCAGCCACAUUGGGACUGAGAUACGGAGCAGACUCCUACGGGAGGCAGCAGUGGGGAAUAUUGCACAAUGGGCGGAAGCCUGAUGCAGCAACGCCGCGUGCGGGAUGACGGCCUUUGGGUUGUAAACCGCUUUCGCCUGUGACGAAGCGUGAGUGACGGUAAUGGGUAAAGAAGCACCGGCUAACUACGUG
rnacentral:rRNA from 1 species